GACGAACGCUGGCGGCGUGCUUAACACAUGCAAGUCGAGCGGUAAGGCCCUUUCGGGGGUACGACGAGCGGCGAACGGGUGAGUAACACGUGGGUGACCUGCCCUCAGCUCUGGGAUAAGCCUGGGAAACCGGGUCUAAUACUGGAUAUGACUCCAUGACGCAUGUUGUGGGGUGGAAAGCCUUGUGCGGCUGAGGAUGGGCCCGCGGCCUAUCAGCUUGUUGGUGGGGUGANGGCCUACCAAGGCGACGACGGGUAGCCGGCCUGAGAGGGCGACCGGCCACACUGGGACUGAGACACGGCCCAGACUCCUACGGGAGGCAGCAGUGGGGAAUUUGGACAAUGGGCGCAAGCCUGAUCCAGCCAUGCCGC
rnacentral:rRNA from 1 species